GUCCUCGUGGUGUAGUGGUUAUCAUACUCUCUUAGGGUUGGUGAAUACAGACUAUGGGAGUGGCCCCGCGUUCGAAUCGCGGCGAGGACC